rnacentral:rRNA from 1 species
UCUUAUGUUGCCAGCACGUUAUGUGGGGACUCGUAAGAGACUGCCGGGGUCAACUCGGAGGAAGGUGGGGACGACGUCAAGUCAUCAUGCCCCUUAUGUCCAGGGCUUCACACAUGCUACAAUGGCCAGUACAGAGGGCUGCGAGACCGUGAGGUGGAGCGAAUCCCUUAAAGCUGGUCUCAGUUCGGAUCGGGGUCUGCAACUCGACCCCGUGAAGUCGGAGUCGCUAGUAAUCGCAGAUCAGCAACGCUGCGGUGAAUACGUUCCCGGGCCUU